GAGCAAAUUAGAAUCCAAGGAAGUUGACAUGUCAUCACUUCAUUUUUUGUGCCUGCGCAUAAAUCUGAGAAACAAACCACAUUUGUUCCGGACCUGGAAUGCCUUCCGGACCUGGGAUCCUGCCUUCUGAUGGAGAUAAUCAAAGGCCGGUGGUGGCUGGCCCGCUCCAGGAGUCUGAGGUGCGGGAGGUUCCUCCUCCCCAGGCGUACUCCGUUCGCUCCAGGCGUCGGGCGAGGGGCCUUCAGUAUCGCGUGGAGUGGGAGGGGUACGGUCCGGAGGAGAGGUGAUGGGUUCCAGUCGAGGACGUGUUGGACCCUUCACUGCUGCAGGAGUUCCACCAUCUUUGUCUGGAUCGCCCUGCGCCUCACCCUCCGGGUCAUCCCCGAGGCCGGUGUCAGCGUGCUGCUGAGGCUGCGCGUCGGGGGGAACUGUCAUGACUUCCGCCAAAGUUGGUUCCUCUCCUUGUUCGAGCGGCGUUCAGCUGUCGGCGUCAUCAAUCCACUUUUCAUUUUCCAUUUGUUUUGUCUUGUCUUCCCACACACCUGGUUUCAAUUCCAUCAUUACAUGUUGUGUAUUUAACCCUCUGUUCCCCCCAUGUCCUUGUCCAGAAUUGUUUUUUGUAAGUGCAUGUGCACGUUUAUCUGGUGUGCGACGGGUUUUGUACCCAUUGAGUGUUUGUUCUGAUUCCGGUGGUUUUUAUUAUUAAACUGCUCCAUUGUAAACACA
rnacentral:lncRNA from 1 species